CGCGUAGGCGGUUUCUAAGGUCAGAUGUGAAAGCCCGGGGCUCAACCCCGGAAGUGCAUUUGAAACUUAGGGACUUGAGUAUGGGAGAGGGAAGUGGAAUUCCUGGUGUAGCGGUGAAAUGCGUAGAUAUCAGGAGGAACACCGGUGGCGAAGGCGACUUCCUGGACCAAUACUGACGCUGAGGCGCGAAGGCGUGGGGAGCAAACA
rnacentral:rRNA from 1 species